AGUGAACGCUGGCGGUAGGCCUAACACAUGCAAGUCGAACGGCAGCACAGGAGAGCUUGCUCUCUGGGUGGCGAGUGGCGGACGGGUGAGGAAUACAUCGCAAUCUACUCUGUCGUGGGGGAUAACGUCGGGAAACGUACGCUAAUACCGCAUACGACCUACGGGUGACAGCAGGGGACCUUCGGUCCUUGCGCGAUUGACUGAGCCGAUUUCGGAUUAGCUAGUUGGCGGGGUAAAGGCCCACCAAGGCGACGAUCCGUAGCUAGUCUGAGAGGAUGAUCAGCCACACUGGAACUGAGACACGGUCCAGAGUCCUACGGGAGGCAGCAGUGGGGAAUAUUGGACAAUGGGCGCAAGCCUGAUCCAGCCAUACCGCGUGGGUGAAGAAGGCCUUCGGGUUGUAAAGCCCUUUUGUUGGGAAAGAAAUCCAGCUGGCUAAUACCCGGUUGGGAUGACGGUACCCAAAGAAUAAGCACCGGCUAACUUCGUGCCAGCCGCCGCGGUAA
rnacentral:rRNA from 1 species